rnacentral:misc_RNA from 1 species
GUGAGUCAUCGAAUCUUUGAACGCACCUUGCACUCUUUGGUAUUCCGAAGAGUAUGUCUGUUUGAGUGUCAUGAAACUCUCAACCCCCUCAUUUUGUAAUGAAACGAGCGUGGGCUUGGAUUGUGGCUGUCUGUCGGCGUAAAUGCCGGCUCAGCUGAAAUUGACGAGCAACCCAGUUUGAAUACCAGACGGCUUGACUCGGCGUAAUAACUAUUUCGCUGAGGACGUCUACCUUUCAAAUCGUUAGUGGUGCUUCUAAUGCAUUUUUAAUAACUUAAGCUUUAGACCUCAAAUCAGUCA